rnacentral:rRNA from 1 species
AGCAGCCGCGGUAAUUCCAGCUCCAAUAGCGUAUAUUAAAGUUGUUGCAGUUAAAAAGCUCGUAGUUGAAUUUCGGGAUCAAUAUGUCGGUCGUGCUUCGGUACGUACUGGCGUUAUUGGUUUCUCCCUUCUGAAGAACCGCGAUGUCGUUAAUUUGGUGUCGUGGGGAAUCAGGACUGUUACUUUGAAAAAAUUAGAGUGUUUAAAGCAGGCUCGCGCUUGAAUACAUUAGCAUGGAAUAAUGAAAUAGGACGUUUGAUUCUAUUUUGUUGGUUUCUAGGAUCGACGUAAUGAUUAAUAGGGAUAGUUGGGGGCAUUAGUAUUCAAUUGUCAGAGGUGAAAUUCUUGGAUUUAUUGAAGACUAACUACUGCGAAAGCAUUUGCCAAGGAUGUUUUCAUUAAUCAAGAACGAAAGUUAGGGGAUCGAAGACGAUCAGAUACCGUCGUAGUCUUAACCAUAAACUAUGCCGACUAGGGAUCGGAUGAUGUUAAUUUUUAAUGACUCAUUCGGCGCCUUACG